UCAAUUUUCACUCUAGCAGAAGGUAGUUUCGGACUUUGCCGAUUAUUACAAAUGAGGCCUUAUCACUGAAGUUUGUAACAUCCGAUAUCAGCGGAUAACUGCCAUUGCAUUUAGCGACAGCUGUAAACAGAAUGGCAGAAGAACCUUUUGAGAGGACGGAAAAGAAACCCGAGCCUGUCAGCAUUACCUCCCCUGAAAUGUAAGAAACUGGUGGAUUCCAAGACAAAAUUGUGGAAAAUGGAGACAUCUUCAAAUAACAGAAAGAAAUAAAGGCUGAAGGGGCAGGAUCACAGAUGUCAGAUGAAAGUUACCGCAAAAAAGGUUAAGUUGGAAAAGAGUGAAAAUGAAAAUGGAUGCUUGUGCAGUGACUGAAGUUGAAGUCAUAAAUUGAGGAUGAUGAAGCUACACGAAAAAGCUCUCAGCUCUACAGUCCGAGUCUGACCGACUUGUCCGACGAGCCACUGUCGGCGGCACUGCGAUCGCAGGCCCCUCACGGUGUGCGCUUACUCAGGCAAGUGUCGCGGGGAUUUGUUAAUGUAGAGGCUGACUGUACGCUGUAGGUGUCUGCAGACUUCCAUCAUUAGAGGAACAGUUCUAUGAACAGUACAUGCCAUUCUUGGGAGUGUGGACCACUUCGUUGGUUACUCGAGUUCCUCAUCUGACCCCAGAACUGUCAUUUACUGCAGCUAGGCAUUUAGCACUAAUAAAAUGUGAGUUACAUAAAAUGGAAGUGUCCGACAUAUCAGCAGCCGUGAAGAUAUGAAAAUUUAAAGGUAUCUCCAUUUUGAGCAGUACAAACUUUAGAAUUAUUAUUCUAAUUUGUUAAU